rnacentral:tRNA from 1 species
GCGGCUGUAGCUCAAUUGGAUAGAGCACAAGCCUACGAAGCUUGGGGUUGCAGGUUCGAGUCCUGCCAGCCGCG